rnacentral:lncRNA from 1 species
AUUUACAAUACAUUUGAAAACGGAAAAAAUAAAAAAUAUUACAGACAUGUAGAAUUCUGUAUGGAACAUUUCCAAAACGAUGCACAUGAUCAUAAAUAUUUCACAUCAGAAGAUCUACACUUAAGUUUACCUAGACUACCAUUAAUUUACUGUUGUAAAAUGGUGCAACUAAGAUGUAGAUUUUUGUAUUCAAGUUCAUCAUUAAUUAAGCUGCAAAACUAUCUGAGGCCAAGAAUUUUUCAUGUUUUAAAGCAGACCUUAAACCUAUUUUGACGUUAAUCAUUUAGCCAUACAUGAAUAAUAACAUUGGAACAUUAAGAAGCUGUGAAAUUUUAUAUGCAUAAUAAUUUUCACACACUUAAUCAAACUUAAGAUGUUUUUGAGGUAAUUUAAAUGAUGCCAAUACUAUAUGAAUUUGUAAUUUUUACCUGUUUGGAAAAUUGUAUAUUUCUUAACAAUUUUUUAUUUCAUUUGUUCAUAUAUGUGUGUUUUUUUAAUAUUUUGUAAUUGUUUGUUAUGUUUCAUUGUAUUUUAUGAGGGCCUCAGAUAAGAUUAGUUUUAUAGCUAACAGUGAAACCCAUUUUAAAUAAAGAAUUAUAAUUAUUAUUAUUAUUUUAAAUCUGUCAGGUACUGUAUGCAAUAUUUUAAUCAGUUUCGAUACAGCUUUAUCUCACUUCCAGUGGCCAACUUUUUUUCACAUUAAUCUCACUUGUAUUAAAGAAUUUAAAAAUUCAAAUUACUUCACUGGAUGAAAAUCUAUUUCAAGGAUUAACUGCUCUUUCAGACUCUUUUAUCAUCUAUUAAUUAAUAAGACUGCUACUCUAGAGUUGUAAAUGUUCUGAGGGUGUAUGUGUGCAAACAGAAAGCAAAUUACUACACUAGAUGAAAAUCCAUUUCGAGGUUUGACAGCUCUUUCAAGAUUUUUAUUAAUGCAAUCCUCUUUGAAUUUAUGUAUUUGGGAACAUGUCCUACAAUAAAAUUAUCUCACUUGACGAAAAUCUCUUUAAAGAUUUGAAUGCUCUUACAGACUUUUUUAUUUUUCUUUUGACGGCUCUUUCAGACUUUUUUAAUUAUUAUAGUAGUCCUCUUUAAUUUGUAUUUAUGUAUUUGGGAACUUGUCGAAAAAGUAAAAUUAUUUCACUUGAUGAAAACCUCUUCAAAGGAUUGACUGCUCUUUCAGACCUUUUUAAUUAUUUAUUAGUAAGACAGCUAUGCAAAUAUAUUUCGAGGUUUGACAGCUCUUACAAACAUUUUUAUUUGUGCAAUCGUCUUUGUAUUUAUGUAUCUGGGAACUAGUUCUUAAGUAAAAUUAUUUCACUUGACGAAAACCUCUUCAAAGGUUUGAAUGCUCUUAGACGUUUUUAUCAUCUAUUAAUUAAUAAUUAAUUAAUUAUUUUUAUUUUGCUAUUCAAGAAUUUUAAAUGUAUUUGAGGACUUGUACAGCAAUCAAAUUACAACACUGGAUGAAAAUCUAUUUCGAGGAUUAACGGCUCUUACAAACAAAAUUACUUCACUUGAUGAAAAUGUCUUUAAAGGAUUGACUGCUCUUUCAGACUUUUUUAAUUAUUUAUUAGUAAGACUGCUAUUCAAGAGUUUCAAAUUUUCUGAGGGUGUAUGUGUGCAAACAGAAAUCAAUUAUUACAUUAGAUGCAAAUAUAUUUCGAGGUUUGACAACUCUUACAAACAUUUUUAUUAGUGCAAUCGUCUUUGUAUUUAUGUAUCUGGGAACUUGUUCUUAAAAUGAUCUUAGACAUUUUUAAUUUUUAUUUUGACAGCUAUUUAAGAAUUUUAAAUGUAUCUGAGGACUUGUACAGCAAUCAAAUUACAACACUGGAUGAAAAUCUAUUUCGAGGAUUAACGGCUCUAACAAACAAAAUUACUUCACUUGACGAGAAUGUUUUUAAAGGAUUGACUGCUCUUUCAGACUUUUUUAAUUAUUUAUUACAUGUAUUAGUAAGACAGCUAUUCAAGAGUUUCAAAUUUUCUGUGGGUGUAUGUGUGCAAACAGAAAUCAAAUAAUUACAUUAGAUGCAAAUCUAUUUCGAGGUUUAACUGCUCUUAAAAACCUUUUUAUUAGUGCACUCUCAUUGUAUUUCAUGAACUUGUUCUACAUAAAAUUAUUUCACUUGACGAAAACCUCUUUAAAGGUUUGAAUGCUCUUAAGACAUUUUUAAUUUUUAUUUUGACUGCUAUUCAAGAAUUUUAAAUGUAUCUGAGGAAUUGUACAGCAAACAAAUUACAACACUGGAUGAAAAUGUAUUUCGAGAUUUGACGGCUCUAACAAAUAAAAUUACUUCACUUGACGAAAAUGUCUUUAAAGGAUUGACUGCUCUUUCAGACUUUUUUAAAUAUUUAUUACAUGUAUUAGUAAGACUGCUAUUCAAGAGUUUCAAAUUUUCUGAGGGUGUAUGUGUGCAAACAGAAAUCAAAUUAUUACAUUAGAUGCAAAUCUAUUUCAAGGUUUGACAGCUCUUACAAACAUUUUUAUUAGUGCACUCUCAUUGUUUUUAUGUAUUCAGAAACUUGUCGUAAAAUUACUUCACUUGACAUAAAUCUCUUUAAAGAUUGGCUGCUCUUAAAGACUAUUACAUUUCCUUUUGACUGCAAUUUAAGGAUUUUAAAUGAACUUGAGGACCUGCACAACAAUCAAAUAACCAACGCUAGAUGCAAAUAUAUUUCAAGGUUUGAAGAAUCUUGGAAAAGAGAAUGGAAACUUGUCCAGAAAUCAAUGACAAUGCUAGAUAGAUGACAACGCCUUUAACGGAUUGACGGCUCUUACACACUUUUUGUAGGAACAUGCCUAGAAAUCAAAUGACAAUGCUAGAUUGAUGUCAACUCAUUUAAAGGAUUGACGGCUCUUACACACUUUUUGUAGGCACUUGCCCAGAAAUCAAAUGACAAUGCUAGAUUGAUGCUAACUCAUUUGACGGAUUGACGGCACUUAAACACUUUUGGUAGGCUUUUGUCUAGAAAUCAAAUUAUUGGACUUGAUUCAGACUUGAUCAACAAUCAAAUUACAACAAUAGAUGCAAAUCCAUUUCAAGGUUUGAGGGAUGUUUGAGAAUGGAAAUGGGGAAUAAAGACAGUAAUGCAACCAAAGAGCAGAAAACAGCUCUAGGCCAAUAUUGGUUGUUCAAGAUAGGGAGAAAGUAGACAUACUUUUUAAUUAUAUAUUUGACUGCUAGUAAACAUUUUUUUAAAUUUCUGUGUGUAUGUUUGUGCUUUGGUUUUUUUUUUAAUGCAUAUAAAUAAUUUAUGAAUUAUACAGGAAUAAAUAUUACUUUUGGGGCCAACACAAUAAGUUAUUAGUGUAUGCAAUUUGUAAGUCAGUUUUCACAUAGCUCUUUCUCAAUUCACAUAUACAACUCUUUUCAAGAAGAAUCACUCUCUAUGUAUGUAUUUGAGAACUGGUACCAUUAUCAAUUCCUUACGUUUGAUGUGAAUUCAUUUCUAGGUUAAAAGGCUUUAACAAAUUGAUUCAUUUUUCAUUUCACUACUUUUCACCAGUUUCAAAUUAUCUAAGUAUAUAUUCUUUAAAUGCUAUUUUCUGUGUAUUUAAAAAUCAAAUAACUGAACAGGGUGAGAGAAAAAAAAUCAGUGCCAACUCAAUUAUUCAUCUGCCUGUGUAUAUAUGCAAUAUUUAAUUCAGUUUUCAAAAAACUCUUUCUCAAUUCCAGCAAACAACUUUUUGCAACUUAAAUCUCACUGUGUAUGCAUGCUUAAUUUCAAGUUUUGAAGUCUUUACAUACAUUUUUUUUUCUCUCAUUAGACUAGCAAUUCAAGUUCUUAAAAUUUUCUGUGGCUGAUUGUGCAUGUGGGUUUUAGGCUUCUUUCUGUUCUCAUAAAUAAUUCAUAAACUGACCAGAAAAAUGAAAAAAUUAUUUAUCUGUUGGUAUGUACAUGAUGUACGCAAUGUUUCAAUCAGUUUUCGUUCACCAAUUAAAAAAUUUCCAUGCUAGAUGAGAAUUCAUUUCAAGGUUUGAGGACUCUUACAUACUUUUUUUAGUAUAUAGUCAGUCCACUGCUAUUCUGCAGUUUCAAAUUUUCUGUGUAUAUAGGGACUUAUCCAAAUAACAAAUGACAAUGCUAGAUAGAUGACAACGCCUUUAAAGGAUUAACAGCUCUUACACACUUUUUGUAGGAAAUUGACCAGAAAUCAAAUGACAAUGCUAGAUAGAUGACAUCUCCUUCAAAGGAUUGACGGAUCUAACACACUUUUUGUAGGCACUUUCCCAGAAAUCAAAUGACAAUGCUAGAUUGAUGUCAACUCAUUUAACAGAUUGACAGCUCUUACACACUUUUUGUUGGCCCUUGCCCAGAAAUCAAAUGACAAUGCUAGAUAGAUGACAUCUCCUUCAAAGGAUUGACGGAUCUAACACACUUUUUGUAGGCACUUGCCCAGAAAUCAAAUGACAAUGCUAGAUAGAUGACAUCUCCUUCAAAGGAUUGACGGAUCUAACACACAUUUUGUAGGCACUUUCCCAGAAAUCAAAUGACAAUGCUAGAUUGAUGUCAACUCAUUUCAAGGAUUGACUGCUCUUACACACUUUUUGUAGGCACUUGCCCAGAAAUCAAAUGACAAUAUUAGAUUGAUGACAACUCAUUUAACGGAUUGACGGCUCUCGCACACUUUUUGUAGGCACUUGCCCAGAAAUCAAAUGACAAUGCUAGAUUGAUGUCAACUCAUUUAAAGGAUUGACGGCUCUUACACACUUUUUGUAGGCUCUUGCCCAGAAAUCGAAUGACAAUGCUAGAUUGAUGUCAACUCAUUUAAAGGAUUGACGGCUCUUACACACUUUUUGUAGGCACUUGCCCAGAAAUCAAAUGACAAUGCUAGAUUGAUGUCAACUCAUUUAAAGGAUUGACGGCUCUUACACACUUUUUGUAGGCACUUGCCCAGAAAUCAAAUAACAAUGCUAGAUAGAUGACAACGCCUUUAACGGAUUGACAGCUCUUACACACUUUUUGUAGGCACUUGCCCAGAAAUCAAAUGACAAUGCUAGAUAGAUGACAACGCCUUUAACGGAUUGACGGCUCUCACACACUUUUUGUAGGCACUUGCCCAGAAAUCAAAUGACAAUGCUAGAUUGAUGUCAACUCAUUUAAAGGAUUGACAGCUCUUACACACUUUUUGUAGGCACUUGCUCAGAAAUCAAAUGACAAUACUAGAUAGAUGUCAACUCAUUUAACGGAUUGACGGCUCUCACACACUUUUUGUAGGCACUUGCCCAGAAAUCAAAUGACAAUGCUAGAUUGAUGUCAACUCAUUUAAAGGAUUGACGGCUCUUACACAUUUUUUGUAGGCACUUGCCCAGAAAUCAAAUGACAAUGCUAGAUUGAUGUCAACUCAUUUAAAGGAUUGACGGCUCUUACACACUUUUUGUAGGCACUUGCCCAGAAAUCAAAUGACAAUGCUAGAUAGAUGACAACGCCUUUAAUGGAUUGACGGCUCUUACACACUUUUUGUAGGCACUUGCCGAGAAAUCAAAUGACAAUGCUAGAUAGAUGACAACGCCUUUAACGGUUUGACAGCUCUUACACACUUUUUGUAGGCACUUGCCCAGAAAUCAAAUGACAAUGCUAGAUAGAAGACAACGCCUUUAACGGAUUGACGGCUCUCACACACUUUUUGUGAGCACUUGCCCAGAAAUCAAAUGACAAUGCUAGAUUGAUGUCAACUCAUUUAAAGGAUUGACAGCUCUUACACACUUUUUGUAGGAACUUGCCCAGAAAUCAAAUGACAAUGCUAGAUAGAUGUCAACUCAUUUAAAGGAUUGACGGCUCUCACACACUUUUUGUAGGCACUUGCCCAGAAAUCAAAUGACAAUGCUAGAUUGAUGACAACGCCUUUAACGGAUUAACGGCUCUUACACACUUUUUGUAGGCACUUGCCCAGAAAUCAAAUGACAAUGCUAGAUAGAUGACAACGCCUUUAACGGUUUGACGGCUCUCACACACUUUUUGUAGACACUUGCCCAGAAAUCAAAUGACAGUGCUAGAUUGAUGUCAACUCAUUUCAAGGAUUGACAGCUCUUACACACUUUUUGUAGGCACUUGCCCAGAAAUCAAAUGACAAUGCUAGAUAGAAGACAACGCCUUUAACGGAUUGACGGUUCUCACACACUUUUUGUAGCCACUUGCCCAGAAAUCAAAUGACAAUGCUAGAUUGAUGUCAACUCAUUUAAAGGAUUGACGGCUCUUACACACUUUUUGUAGGAACUUGCCUAGAAAUCAAAUGACAAUGCUAGAUUGAUGUCAACUCAUUUAAAGGAUUGACGGCUCUUACACACUUUUUGUAGGAACUUGCCUAGAAAUCAAAUGACAAUGCUAGAUAGAUGACAACGCCUUUAACGGAUUGACGGCUCUCACACACUUUUUGUAGCCACUUGCCCAGAAAUCAAAUGACAAUGCUAGAUUGAUGUCAACUCAUUUAAAGGAUUGACGGCUCUUACACACUUUUUGUAGGCACUUGCCCAGAAAUCAAAUGACAAUGCUAGAUAGAUGACAACGCCUUUAACGGAUUGACGGCACUUACCCACUUUUUGUAGGAACUUGCUUGCCUAUAAAUCAAAUGACAAUACCAGAUAGAUGCAAAUUCUUUUGAAGGAUAGACGGCUCUUACAAACCUUGUUUAGGCACUUGCCCAGAAAUCAAAUGACAAUGCUAGAUAGAUGCAAAUUCCUUUGAAGGAUUGACGGCUCUUACAUAGUUUGGCAACUCUUUUAUUAUUUUCUUAUCAAUUAUUCAUUUUAAAAUUUUUUUUCAAAAAGUUUUUACUUUGAAUUCUCUUUAUCUAUAUAUUCAGGCACUUGUGUAUUAACCAAAUUAAAUUGCUAGAUAGGAUUCAAUUCAAGGCUUGAGGGUUUUUACAUUUUAUUAUUUUGAUCAUUAUUCCUUUGAAUGCUAUUUAUUAGUUUAAAAUUUUCUCUGUGUGUGUAUGUGUAAGUGCUUCAGAUUUGUUUCUGUGCAUGUUUAUAAUUAAUUAAAUGAACUUGAAUAACAAAACAAAAAAUGUAUCCAUUUCCAUAUUUUACUAAUAUUUUAAUCAACUCUUACUCACUUCCAGACAUAAACCUUGUUUUUAAUCUUUCACAAUAUUGCUAAAAUCUCGAUAAUUUGAAAAACACAUGGCUUUAGCUAAGUACUGAGAAAAAAAAGUUAUAAAAAACGUAUAACAGCAAAUGGCACAAAUGUAUAAGCUCAUUAACCAGAACAGGGAAUGCAACUGCACAAGUAAUUAAUUUUCUUUAAUUCAAAAAUUAUAAAUUAGCAAUCCAAGAUAUGUUGACAAAAAUUUGUAAAUUUUUUUAUAUUUUUUUUUUGGGGGGGGGCAGGGGGUUUAAGGGAAAAAAAGCAGUUAUCUAUAAAUCAGGUAACAACAAGAGGAAAUGGAUGCAGUUUGGUUUAAAUGAUCUUACUAACUUUAAUCAAAUUUAAAGUGUGUGAGUUUUAAGAACAAGUUUUCUUUAGAAGGUCCUUUUUAUGGGGGAAAAAAAACAUAAGACUAUAAGACUUUCAACAUGCAUAAAAAAACUUAUAUUCACAUCCUGCAUAACCCAAACUAUAAAAAUAAUUUCUGAGCAACAUUAAAAGUGCAUUUAUAUAUCUCAUAGAGACAAAUACAAAGCACUACAAAAACUUAAUAACAAAUAAGCACUUGUGAUUAUAAUUGGAUGGCAUUAUCUGAUACAUGUGUACCCUACUUUUGGUACUUAGUCAGAUCUGCAAUAAAAGCACAUGGCAUGAUUUGGUUUCCUGACUGGUUACCUGUCAGAUCUAUAGCACUGGUAUUAUGGUUGAAUGGAUGAUUUCAGUACCCUGUGUGGUUAUUAGUGAGAUCAGGCGGCAGUUAGGCAGUUAUAUUACAAGCAGAUCUUCCAUUGACCUUUGGCGAGAAAAUUCCUCAUUACAUGUUUUUGUGUCUAGGUAUUUUGUAAUAGAAUCGUCCAUAUCUUCUUUUUUUAAAUUUGUAUGGAAGGAUGGUAUCUUGUCCAUUCUAGGUGGUCCUUCAGCUACUUUUCUUAUUCUAUUUUCUGCCAGCCUGGAAAAA